rfam:Corchorus olitorius cultivar O-4 contig17999, whole genome shotgun sequence.
AUCUUUGCGCUUGGGGCAAUGACGCAGCUAGUGAGGUUCUAACCGAGGCGCGUCUAUUGCUGGUUGAAAACUAUUUCCAAACCCCCUCUUAGGCCUGGGUUUGGCCCAGGCCUUUGAGAAUUUCUGGAAGGGCUCCCUUAGGGGUAAAGCC